rnacentral:rRNA from 1 species
CAGUCGCCGCGGUAACACAGAGGGUGCGAGCGUUAAUCGGAUUUACUGGGCGUAAAGCGUGCGUAGGCGGCUUUUUAAGUCGGAUGUGAAAUCCCUGAGCUUAACUUAGGAAUUGCAUUCGAUACUGGGAAGCUAGAGUAUGGGAGAGGAUGGUAGAAUUCCAGGUGUAGCGGUGAAAUGCGUAGAGAUCUGGAGGAAUACCGAUGGCGAAGGCAGCCAUCUGGCCUAAUACUGACGCUGAGGUACGAAAGCAUGGGGAGCAAACAGGAUUAGAUACCCCUGUAGUCCCUGUCUCUUAUAA